rnacentral:lncRNA from 1 species
CAUUACUAAAGCCACAGCUGAGUGUGUACUAAGCGCUCUGUACCAGUUCAGCGUGGUGCUUGAGUCAGCUGAGUGCUGGGAGGAAACCUUCACUUCGUGCUGUGUUAAUGUUGGACAUCUCUGGUAUGAAGACAUGUGGAAGCAAGUGAUUAUGUCAUCAAAGAAAAAGCUGAAAAAUGGCUAAGUGAAACCUAACCUCAGGUAAGGCAAGAACUAGUCAGUCUCAGGAGAAAUACUUUAAACCCCUUUGAGGGCAUGUCCCUGCCUCCAGCAGGCCCCAUCUUUUAAAUGUUUAUCAUCCAUCUCCCAAUAGUACUCCCAGAAACCAAGCUCUGAACAUAAGAGUCUGUAGAGGGAAAAGCAAAAUCCAAACUAAAAUGUAGGCUUAGAUUUUUCAAAAACUACUUUAA